UUGAAAUCUGGCUCUCGGGCCCGAGUUGUAAUUUGUAGAGGAUGCUUUUGGUGAGGUGCCUUCCGAGUUCCCUGGAACGGGACGCCAUAGAGGGUGAGAGCCCCGUCUGGUUGGACACCGAGCCUCUGUAAAGCUCCUUCGACGAGUCGAGUAGUUUGGGAAUGCUGCUCUAAAUGGGAGGUAUAUGUCUUCUAAAGCUAAAUAUUGGCCAGAGACCGAUAGCGCACAAGUAGAGUGAUCGAAAGAUGAAAAGCACUUUGAAAAGAGAGUUAAAAAGCACGUGAAAUUGUUGAAAGGGAAGCGCUUGUGACCAGACUUGGGCUUGGUUGAUCAUCCGGCGUUCUCGCCGGUGCACUCUUCCAGUUCAGGCCAGCAUCAGUUUGCUUCGGGGGAUAAAAGUUUCGGGAAUGUGGCUCCUCCGGGAGUGUUAUAGCCCGUUACAUAAUACCCUGGGGCAGACUGAGGUUCGCGCAUUUAUGCAAGGAUGCUGGCGUAAUGGUCAUCAGCGACCCGUCUUGAAACACGGACCAAGGAGUCGUCUUCGUAUGCGAGUGUUCGGGUGUCAAACCCCUACGCGUAAUGAAAGUGAACGCAGGUGAGAGCUUCGGCGCAUCAUCGACCGAUCCUGAUGUUCUCGGAUGGAUUUGAGUAAGAGCAUACGGGGCCGGACCCGAAAGAAGGUGAACUAUGCCUGUAUAGGGUGAAGCCAGAGGAAACUCUGGUGGAGGCUCGCAGCGGUUCUGACGUGCAAAUCGAUCGU
rnacentral:rRNA from 1 species